rnacentral:lncRNA from 1 species
AACGGUCCAGCAACCCAAAGUUGACUGGGAGACGACGGCCUAGACCUCUCACGAACUCGUCACAGCAUCCUCCAAGCGCCUCAUCCUGCGGUACCUGUUCUUGACCUGUGGGGGGUGUGAGACAACAAGAGUGAGCUCACAUACGUUCAUCGCUCAACAAGUUGUGGGGAAUAAUGUGAAUGAACUCGCCAAAGGUGGGAGUUCAUGUGAAGUGUAAGGCUUACCAAAGAGGAUGGUUAGAGCUGAGCAUUGCUUUUAAAGUUGGUCAAAAUUUUAUUAGCAGUUACUAAGUAUAAGUAAAUACCAACCCAAUUAAAUAGUAGAACAAAAGUAACAACAUCACCUGCGAUGCAAUGCAUAUGACAAAUUGAAUUUAGUUCCAUAAAUUAAUCAUGUGAGUGUCCGAGCUGCUCAUGACCGUGAGCACGGCUAGUAUACCAGUUUUACACUCUGCAGAGGUUGCGCAUCUUUACCCACAAGUCAUGUUACCCAUCUGCCAAGGGAUCGCGACUUCCCAUACACCUACCGAGGAGGCGAGGCAGGGUAACACUACGAGGCCUUUACAAAGUUCCACUAGCUUCAGAAAACCCGCUACAGUUUAUAGGAAGCUCCAAUGCAGGGUUCUUGCCUGACCGCCAUCGCAGCAAAAUCAACCAAGGACCUCCCUACAUUGACCACUCCCCUACUGCCCUUGCCCCUUUCGGGUAAGGUAGUCUUCCGCUAGCUUUCCUAAUUAGUUAGCCAAGGGCGUCCAUAAACCCUUGUGGUAGCACUGUUUUCCCGGGUGGUUCUCCAUGUUCCAAUUAACAUAAUGAUCUUAUCAUGAACAGUAAAUAAUAACUGAUAAUAAAAGAUAAUCGUGAAUAAAAUGUAUCUCUAUACCCAAAACCACAUAAAGCAAUAGCAGGUACUACCCGAAAAUCCAGUGGUGAACAAGGUAUAAAGAUAGUCAAACUAGGGUAACCUAUUGGGUCCCAUCAAAAUUAACCUAUGCAGAUCAUUAUGAUUAAUUAGAACAUGACUGGGUAAAAAGAAGUGAUCAAGGGCACAACUUGCCUGGGACUUGAGAUUCUAGGUACCAACUUGCUCUUUAGGUGACUCGUAACCUCGCGCUAGUCGUCGCAAUACAAACAUACAUGGUAUAGACAAAAUUAACAUCACACCAAACAUAAGAACAAACUGCAUAAUAUUAAUCUACGCGUCGCUACGAGAUCGUGGGAACAAGAAUCGCUAAAUUCGGAGUUACAGUUAAGAAGUUAUGGUUUUAUAAAGAUUUAAGUGUUGGACACAAAAGAAAUUAAGUGCAUAAAUUAUACCCAUGUUUCAUAAUAAAAUAAGGUUACCAGAUGAUAAACAAUAUUAUUAUGAAUUUAUAGCAACUGCAAUAAAUUAAUUCAGAGCUAAGAUGAAUUAAAUAUGAAUUAAAUAAGAUUCUAGGUUUAUUUUUAUGCUAAAAAUCCUUUUUCUAAAUAAAUUCUAAAUUCCUCAUGACCGCUGGACUGGGGACACUAUUCUCCAGAAGCCCGGGGCUUAAUUUGCAAAUAACAGGGCCCUAGUCGAAAUACUUAUACACUGUCGUGGAUUGUGGGUUGAUUUGUGAAUAUUUCAGGGGCUCAUAUGCAAAACGCCUAGGCCGAAAAGGUACGGGCAACGCUGGCCGCGCGAUCAAGGCUGAACGCGUGAGAUUAGAUCUAGCCUAUUCCGAACCGGUACGCAAUCCGGACUGUCCGAUCCCGAUCGGACGGUCAUGAUUUUAAAAUGGCGCCAAAGCAUAACCCGCGCAGGAUUAGAAUCGGAUGACCGUGAUCAAUCCCACCGAAGCGGUAUCCCUAGGGGCAUGUCCGAGCCGUUAUACUAAAAUCCGACGGCGCAGCGCUCGUCCUCCACCCCGCGUCCCCCAACACCGAACAGGAACGGCGCCAGAGUAACCCCGCGGUGGAGCUUCGCCGCCGGUGAAAUUCGUUCUCCGCACCAGUGAUCAAAACGCACUGGGAGGAGUGCCAAAACACGAUUCAGGGUCUAACGCACUUGAAUACAGCCUACUUACCAGGGAUUACGGCGACGCGACUUCGGUCCCCGACAAGGAACACCCCGCGGCGGCCAAAUCUUC